UACGAAGGGGGCUAGCGUUGCUCGGAAUCACUGGGCGUAAAGCGCACGUAGGCGGCUUCUUAAGUCAGGGGUGAAAUCCUGGAGCUCAACUCCAGAACUGCCUUUGAUACUGAGAAGCUUGAGUCCGGGAGAGGUGAGUGGAACUGCGAGUGUAGAGGUGAAAUUCGUAGAUAUUCGCAAGAACACCAGUGGCGAAGGCGGCUCACUGGCCCGGUACUGACGCUGAGGUGCGAAAGCCAGGGGAGCAAACGGG
rnacentral:rRNA from 1 species